rnacentral:lncRNA from 1 species
AUGGAAGGGAUGAGAGAAGGUGGUCAGGGCACUCAUGCUUCUUCUUCACCUGGAGCCUGUGAGAUUUUUGGGAAUGCAUCUGCACCUGGCUGGAGUGAGCAGGAAUUACAACAUCACACGGAGGCUCAACUGAUACAAAACCAACUCAUCUCUUUCUUUCUCGAGCCAAAAUAUUGGAGAAAUUAUGAAAAUUGGUAUUUGAGGCUGAAAUAAAAGGUCAGGUUCCAGGGAUCACCCUGAGCACUCAGACCAUAACCAGG